rnacentral:lncRNA from 1 species
UUCUGAGAGAAAGAGUCGCCAUUUUUAGACCUUAUUAUUUUUGGGGGUUUUGAUGUUAGCUUGAUUGCCACUUGUGAGGCAUUUCUUAGAAUGUGAUGGGUUUAAAGUUGGUUCGGGUUGGCGGUUCGUGAGCUUGCUAUUAUUCUUGACGAAUUUUGAUGCUGAAAGACUUUGAAACGAUGCUGUCCACCACGUCGAGAAGCUGAGUAACAUUCUGCUUGUACAAUGGCACCUCUUCAUAAAAGGAACCUAAGCCAUCCAAUCUAGGGCUUCCAUCCAGUCGUGCAGGUUGCAUGGAAGUUGCAUUUACCUUUGCUGUGAACAUCAUGAACACAUACACUAUUUGAAGGUUCAUGUUUACAUAGCAGUGGUGUUGCUGUCCAAUGUGGUGUGCUGUUGCGUGCAGCCUAUGGUGGUGAAAGAUAUCUGCAUCAAGUUGCUGUUCCUUGUGCAUCCAAGGUGCUGGUUUUGUGCUACAGAAGUGACAUGCAAUAUUGUGUUUAAUUGCUA